UAGCAUAUCAAUAAGCGGAGGAAAAGAAACUAACAAGGAUUCCCCUAGUAACUGCGAGUGAAGCGGGAAAAGCUCAAAUUUAAAAUCUGGCAGCCUUUGGUUGUCCGAGUUGUAAUCUAGAGAAGUGUUAUCCGCGCUGGACCGUGUACAAGUCUCCUGGAAUGGAGCGUCAUAGAGGGUGAGAAUCCCGUCUUUGACACGGACUGCCAGGGCUUUGUGAUGCGCUCUCAAAGAGUCGAGUUGUUUGGGAAUGCAGCUCAAAAUGGGUGGUAAAUUCCAUCUAAAGCUAAAUAUUGGCGAGAGACCGAUAGCGAACAAGUACCGUGAGGGAAAGAUGAAAAGAACUUUGGAAAGAGAGUUAAACAGUACGUGAAAUUGCUGAAAGGGAAACGCUUGAAGUCAGUCGCGUUGUCCAGGGAUCAACCUUGCUUUUGCUUGGUGCACUUUCUGGUUGACGGGUCAGCAUCAAUUUUGACUAUUGGAAAAAGAUUAGGGGAAUGUGGCAUCUUUGGAUGUGUUAUAGCCCUUGGUUGCAUACAAUGGUUGGGAUUGAGGAACUCAGCACGCCGCAAGGCCGGGUUUUUAACCACGUACGUGCUUAGGAUGCUGGCAUAAUGGCUUUAAUCGACCCGUCUUGAAACACGGACCAAGGAGUCUAACAUGCCUGCGAGUGUUUGGGUGGAAAACCCGAGCGCGUAAUGAAAGUGAAAGUUGAGAUCCCUGUCAUGGGGAGCAUCGACGCCCGGACCAGACCUUUUGUGACGGUUCCGCGGUAGAGCAUGUAUGUUGGGACCCGAAAGAUGGUGAACUAUGCCUGAAUAGGGUGAAGCCAGAGGAAACUCUGGUGGAGGCUCGUAGCGAUUCUGACGUGCAAAUCGAUCGUCAAAUUUGGGUAUAGGGGCGAAAGACUAAUCGAACC
rnacentral:rRNA from 1 species